GCGAAGGGAAAAUUCUUGAGGAUGGGAUUCUGAAGAGGUCUCUGGUUGAAUGGAGAUGUGUGCUCAAUGUUUUUAUGAAGUUGGUGGGAUCAGAGUGGCACUUUAUGCAGUCCAUUGAGAUUUUUGGUAGAGGAGGACCUGCUCCCGGGGUGGGACUUGGAUGGGGUGCCUCUGGUGGAGGAUUUUGGUCAAUGACUGUUUUGUUGGCUCAAACUGAUGCUAGAUUAAUAAUUUACAUGCUUGAAAUCAUCCAG
rnacentral:misc_RNA from 1 species